rnacentral:rRNA from 1 species
GCACUUCGGGAUAAGCUUGGGAAACUGGGUCUAAUACCGGAUAGGACUACGAGAUGCAUGUCUUGUGGUGGAAAGCUUUGCGGUGUGGGAUGGGCCCGCGGCCUAUCAGCUUGUUAGUGGGGUGAUGGCCUACCAAGGCGACGACGGGUAGCCGGCCUGAGAGGGUGUCCGGCCACACUGGGACUGAGAUACGGCCCAGACUCCUACGGGAGGCAGCAGUGGGGAAUAUUGCACAAUGGGCGCAAGCCUGAUGCAGCGACGCCGCGUGGGGGAUGACGGCCUUCGGGUUGUAAACCCCUUUCAGCACAGACGAAGCGCAAGUGACGGUAUGUGCAGAAGAAGCACCGGCCAACUACGUGCCAGCAGCCGCGGUAAUACGUAGGGUGCGAGCGUUGUCCGGAAUUACUGGGCGUAAAGAGCUCGUAGGUGGUUUGUCGCGUUGUCCGUGAAAACUCACAGCUUAACUGUGGGCGUGCGGGCGAUACGGGCAGACUGGAGUACUGCAGGGGAGACUGGAAUUCCUGGUGUAGCGGUGGAAUGCGCAGAUAUCAGGAGGAACACCGGUGGCGAAGGCGGGUCUCUGGGCAGUAACUGACGCUGAGGAGCGAAAGCGUGGGGAGCGAACAGGAUUAGAUACCCUGGUAGUCCACGCCGUAAACGGUGGGUACUAGGUGUGGGUUUCCUU